CCUACGGGUGGCAGCAGUGAGGAAUAUUGGUCAAUGGACGCAAGUCUGAACCAGCCAUGCCGCGUGCAGGAAGACGGCUCUAUGAGUUGUAAACUGCUUUUGUACGAGGGUAAACGCAGAUACGCGUAUCUGUCUGAGAGUAGCGUACGAAUAAGGAUCGGCUAACGCCGUGCCAGCAGCCGCGGUAAUACGGAGGAUUCAAGCGUUAUCCGGAUUUAGUGGGUUUAAAGGGUGCGUAGGCGGGGAGGUAAGUCAGCGGUGAAAUGCCCCCGCUCAACGGGGUGAAGUGCCAUUGAUACUGCCUUGCUGGACUGCGGCUGCCGUGGGCGGACUGUGUGGUGUAGCGGUGACCUGCCUCGAUCUCACAC
rnacentral:rRNA from 1 species